rnacentral:piRNA from 1 species
UCGGAUAGUAAAUCACAAGUAAGGUACCU